AGUCAUUCCUUCCUCCAAGGUCUGUAUCCUUCCCUCCAGCUCUGCUUUCUGCCCCACCCACCAAGAUGUUGUUACAGAUGCCUUG